UAUUAAGCAAUUUAUUCUACAAAUUUACUUCCCUUCUAUCUAUUGAUUUUUUAAAAAUUAUUUUGAUAGAUUUAUCUCAAAUCUUUCUCAUAUAAAUCUUUAUAAAAUAAAGUGAUGUAUAAAUUUAUUUAGGCAUAUAUCAAUUUUAAGAUUUAACUAUUAAAUUAUUUUUAUAUAAUUUUUAUUUAAUUAAUAAUUAGACUUAUAAAACUAUAUAAAAAUAUUAAAAAAAUAAAAUUUAUUAUAAAAAUAUUUUAGAUCCGC
rnacentral:lncRNA from 1 species